UUUCCUUCUGAUAUCAGACUGAUUUCACUGAAAUAAGUCAAAGUCACACAUAUUAUUACACACACUCAUUAAUUAACAAUGUGAAACCGUUUUCUUGCAGCUUCAAGCCUCAGCAGGUCUCAGAGGACCAAUCAGAGCCCAGCUACAGACCACAUGAUCAACCAGGGUGAAACUCAAGACGAACAUUACGCGGCUCUUCUUCAUGGUGAUUCUUGUCUCUAUGAAACAAUCAGAGGCUCUGGACAACGUGAACAAGGGACGAAUGAUGAACCAGAGGACAGCGAUUACCAAAAUGUGACGAUGUAAACAGCUGCAGGUACUUCAAGUACAACAGACCAUGUAGUACAAUAUGAAUAAAACAUCUGCACGGACAGAACCAGGGGAACGGAUGACGACAUGAAAAACCACAGCUUUGUCUUUUUGAGUAAUUAUUGUGUGAACUUCCUCUUGCCUGAUAUGAGACAGUGUUUUGUAGUUAACCCAUGAAAAGAUCAUUUAAAGGAAAUACAUCAUAAGUCUCUAAAGGUUUUACUUGUUGUUAAUAGAGUCAUCGUGGUGCAGGGGUAAACAGGGUGCGCUGGUUGGUGGUUCAAGCCCUGGCUGCUCCAUGUCCCAUGUCGAAGUGUC